GUGUGUUGAAUUUUUUCCGAUGGCUAUGAUAACAUACUUGCCCGACAAUGUGAUUACUAUCAUUCUAGAAGAGAAAAACAUCAGCUUGGAGAAUAUCAUGAAUUUUAAGUCCACGUGUAAAGAUUCCAGGAGAUGACACUAUCUAACAAGUUUUAGGAAAGGAAAUAUUAUCAGAGUUAUUUUGCUGAAUUUCUCUGAUGGCUACAAUAACAAAUUUGCCCGACGAUGUGAUUAUUAUCAUUCUGGGAAGAAUGAGCAUCAGCUUCGAGGAUAUCGCGAAUUUUCAGUCCACGUGCAAAAGACUUCAGCAGAUAACACUAUCCAACAAAUUUUGGGAAAGGAAAUAUUAUCAGAGCUGUCCUACUGCAGAAAAUAAAUAUAACAAAACGAAACAAAAGAAAAUAUUUCAUCAAAACAAUUUCAAAGAAAAACUAAAAGCAGGAUUAUAUCAUGUUCAAAAGUUCCAAAAUUAUGCGUCUUUGAU